GAUGAACGCUAGCUACAGGCUUAACACAUGCAAGUCGAGGGGCAGCAUGAAAGUUUGCUUGCAAACUUUUGAUGGCGACCGGCGCACGGGUGAGUAACACGUAUCCAACCUGCCUCAUACUCGGGGAUAGCCUUUCGAAAGAAAGAUUAAUAUCCGAUAGCAUAUCAAGGUCGCAUGAUCCUGAUAUUAAAGAAUUUCGGUUAUCGAUGGGGAUGCGUUCCAUUAGUUAGUUGGCGGGGUAACGGCCCACCAAGACGACGAUGGAUAGGGGUUCUGAGAGGAAGGUCCCCCACAUUGGAACUGAGACACGGUCCAA
rnacentral:rRNA from 1 species